rnacentral:rRNA from 1 species
UACGUAGGGACCGAGCGUUGUCCGGAUUCAUUGGGCGUAAAGAGCUCGUAGGCGGCUUUGCAAGUGACGGGUGAAAUCCCUCGGCUUAACCGAGGAACUGCCUGUCAAACUGCAUGGCUUGAGACCGGGAGAGGUGAGUGGAAUUCCCAGUGUAGCGGUGAAAUGCGUAGAUAUUGGGAGGAACACCAGUGGCGAAGGCGGCUCACUGGACCGGUACUGACGCUGAGGCGCGAAAGCGUGGGUAGCAAACAGG